UCCGUUGGUGAACUUGGUUGUGCUUAUGCAGAUGGAUGUUUUACAGCGGAGGAAAUAAUAUUAGCAGCAUAUUCGAGAGGAAGUGCGUUGAUAGAAACAGAAAUACCUCACGGUUCUAUGGCAACGGUAGGGCUUUCCUAUGAAGACAUUAAGAAUCGCUGUCCUACUGAUAUCGAUAUCGCAUGUCACAAUGGAAGUGAAAGUACAAUUGUUAGCGGAUCGACCAAUUCUGUGAAGGCAUUCGUUAAAAAAUAAAAGGAAACUGAAAUUAUCGUAGAAGAGGUGUUGUGCAAUAAUAUACCUUAUCACAGCUGUUAUAUCGCAACAGUUGGAUUGAAAUAUUUUGUAUGUUUAAAAAAAGUGAUACCAGUAGCGAAGCUACAAAGUCCUUACGAAGGAGAUAAGUUUUCAUGCUGUAAUGUUAGAUCAAAUUAUAGUUACCAAGAACGGAAUCAGAAAUAAAAUAAGUUCAAAAGUAAACAAACUCCUUAAGGAAAAUGCAAUCAAACCGAUUGUAAGAACAAUCUUUGGCAAAGACCAAGUAGAGAAAGAAGCCUUUAGAUUCAUGGCUGCUGAUAAACAUAUUGGAAAAGUACUAAUAAAGAUACGCGAAGAAAAUGAACCACUGAAUACACUGAUCUUGGCUGAAUCUUAUUAUAGGUGUUUCCCGAAUAAAAGUUAUAUAAUUAUUGGCGGCUUGGGUGGCUUUGGUUUAGAAUUAAUCGAUUGGUUGUUUCUUCGAAAUUAUAAAAAUAUUGUCAUUACUUCACGAAACGGCUUAAUGAAUGGAUAUCAACAAAUGAGAAUCAAGAGAUGGGAAUCAUAUGGUGUGAAUAUUAAGAUCCUUGUCGGUCUCGAUGCGGCUAAGCGGGAAGACUGCGAGCUUAUAGUAAAAUCAGCAAUAGAUGAAGGUUCCGUCGAUGGUAUAUUUAACCUCGCGGUUUCUUUGAAGGAUUGUAUUUGUCGGAACCAAACGAUGAAAACUUUUAAAGAAUGUUUCAAGGGAAAGGCCUGGACAACGAAACGUUUGGACAAAGUUACUAAAAAGCUUUGUCAAGAUCUUCGGCAUUUCGUAAUUUUCUCUUCCAUCUCGUACGGAAGAGGAAAUGCUUGCGAAACGAAUUAUGGUAUGGCUAAUUCCAUUAUGGAAAGAAUAUGUGAAAAGAGAAUAGAAGAAGAUUUGCCUGGAUUAGCUAUUUAAUGGGGAACGAUUGGGGACGUCGGUCUUGUCGUGGACAUGCAGGAUAAUGAUAAAGAACUUGUUAUUGGCGGUACUCUACAGCAAAAAAUUAUAUCAUGUUUAGAAAUAUCAAUCGAUUUUUGGUACAGGAUAUAGUUGGUAGUAUGAUAGUCGCUGUAAAACGGUUAGGUGACGACUGUGCGCACAAUGUCGUAAAUGCUGUCUUAAAAAUUAUGUAUUAUAGGUAUUAAAGACUUGAAGAGUAUCAAUCAACAAACUUCCUUGGCUGAACUUGGAAUGGAUUCUAUGAUGGGUGUGGAAAUAAAACAAACUUUAGAGCGCGAGUAUGAAAUAUAUCUCAACGCGGAAGAUAUUCGCAGCUUAAACUUUGCCAAACUUAUGGAAAUAGAAAAUAAGCUAAUAGGUGAUAGUAAUCGUAUUGAAAUUGCUACCGAGAAAAUAUUAUUUGGUACAAAGAUAUUGAUGCAAUUGUUCGGCGAAGAACUUUCCUCCGAACUAAUUAUCUCCCUUAAAACUAAACCAGAGGAAGGUUGGAGCGAGAUAUUCUUCAUUCCAGUUAUUGAAGGCUAUGGUACCAUUUUCAAAACUUUAGAAUCGAAAAUUAAGUCGCCAGCGACUUGUUUCCAACUUGGGACAAAUAAUGAAUUAGAAACUAUAGAAGAAAUGGCCCUUUUAUUUCUACCUGUAUUCUCUUUUACUAAAGAUAUAUUUGAUUAAAUUAAAUAUUAUUCAAUCUGUUCUAUUAAAAUGGUAUCUAACUUUACAUAUUACAGCAUAUAAUAGAGAAACUUAAAGAUCGAGAACAUUUUACUUUAGUGGGAUACUCAUUCGGAUCGCUCAUAACAAUUGAACUCACACGACAAUUAGAAGCCAAAGGAUUUAAAGGCUGGCUAAUUUUGAUAGACGGUGCUCCUGAACUAAUGAAAGAACUCGUAAACCAACAGUUACAACCAUCAUCAAAGGAAGAGCUACAAAACGAAGUUUUUGUUAAUAUGGCGAAGAUAUUAACAUCUGUUAAGAUUGUAUAGCUUGUACUUGAAAUGGAAAAAUCCAAAACGUGAGAUGAGAAAAUAAAUGCAUUCUUUAAUCUAUUGUCUCCCAAACACAAGCAAUUAUAUUUGGAACGGCAUCAAAAAAACGCUCUCCUUUCAUUUUAUGUGAGAUUGCGAGCAGCCAUGAAAUAUAAUCCA